UACAUGUCUAGCAUGCGAGUCAUUGUAGCAUACAAGGCAUACGGCUCAGUAACGCGUAGUCAACCUAACCUAUGGACGGGAAUAACCUCGGGAAACUGAGAAUAAUGCCCGAUAGAACACUAUACCUGGAAUGGUUUGUGUUCCAAAUGAUUUAUCGCCAUAGGAUGGGACUGCGGCCUAUCAGUUUGUUGGUGAGGUAAUGGCCCACCAAGACUAUUACAGGUACGGGCUCUGAGAGGAGUAGCCCGGAGAUGGGUACUGAGACACGGACCCAGGCCCUAUGGGGCGCAGCAGGCGAGAAAACUUUGCAAUGUGCGAAAGCACGACAAGGUUAAUCCGAGUGAUUUGUGCUAAACGAAUCUUUUGUUAGUCCUAGAAACACUAACGAAUAAGGGGUGGGCAAGUUCUGGUGUCAGCCGCCGCGGUAAAACCAGCACCUCAAGUGGUCAGGAUGAUUAUUGGGCCUAAAGCAUCCGUAGCCGGCUCUGUAAGUUUUCGGUUAAAUCUGUACGCUUAACGUACAGGCUGCCGGGAAUACUGCAGAGCUAGGGAGUGGGAGAGGUAGACGGUACUCGGUAGGAAGUGGUAAAAUGCUUUGAUCUAUCGAUGACCACCUGUGGCGAAAGCGGUCUACCAGAACACGUCCGACGGUGAGGGAUGAAGCUGGGGGAGCAAACCGGGAUUAGAUACCCCGGUAGUCCAGCUGUAACUAUGCAACUUCAGUGAUGCAUCACGUGUGCCCAUGCAGUGCUUGCAGG
rnacentral:rRNA from 1 species